rnacentral:rRNA from 1 species
GAUGAACGCUGGCGGCGUGCCUAAUACAUGCAAGUCGAGCGAACAGACGAGGAGCUUGCUCCUCUGACGUUAGCGGCGGACGGGUGAGUAACACGUGGAUAACCUACCUAUAAGACUGGGAUAACUUCGGGAAACCGGAGCUAAUACCGGAUAAUAUAUUGAACCGCAUGGUUCAAUAGUGAAAGACGGUUUUGCUGUCACUUAUAGAUGGAUCCGCGCCGCAUUAGCUAGUUGGUAAGGUAACGGCUUACCAAGGCAACGAUGCGUAGCCGAACUGAGAGGGUGUUCGGCCACACUGGAACUGAGACACGGGCCAGGCUCCGACGGGAGGCAGCAGUAGGGGAUCUUCCGCAAUGGGCGAAAGCCUGACGGAGCAACGCCGCGUGAGUGAUGAAGGUCUUCGGAUCGUGAAACUCUGUUAUUAAGGAAGAACAAAUGUGUAAGUAACUAUGCACGUCUUGACGGUACCUAAUCAGAAAGCCACGGCUAACUACGUGCCAGCCGCCGCCGUAA